GGGCCAGAGUGCGAUGGGCGGAUAGGUUUUGAAAAUAUUUUGAAAAAGAAGCGGUGAAUCUCCUGUUAUUUGGGUUGCCAACUUGUUUGUUACCCGUGUUGGAUUUGGUUGUAGCUUCACCUGCGGUUGUGAUUCUUCUGAUUUCUUUUGUCUCUUCACAAGAAAGUUUUUUUGACAAUCACUGUGCUGAACAAAUACGGAAAAGAAUAAAUCGAAUUUUCUGAAUGCACGACUCAAUUAUUACACGAAGAAUACAGUUUUGGCAAAACCAUGAUCUAGGUGCAAAAACAGAUGAUAGCCGAAUUGUUAUAUCCACUUGGUAAGGCACUAUUUCGAGGGGAGGAGUUUGCUCCCGUCAACUCAUGUACAGUUUCUUCACAAUUUUCAUCCCUAUAUAUCUAUCUGAUCAUACAGUAAUCACAUCUACGAUCAACUAAAAACUCUGUGCACGGUUCAAAGACCGAAAAAUCCAGGUAUAGAUGCCCCCCCNNNNN
rnacentral:lncRNA from 1 species